CCUACGGGUGGCAGCAGUGGGGAAUAUUGCGCAAUGGGCGAAAGCCUGACGCAGCGACGCCGCGUGAGGGAUGAAGGUCUUCGGAUCGUAAACCUCUGUCAGCAGGGAAGAACGGUCACUGUGCUAAUCAGCAGUGAAUUGACGGUACCUGCAAAGGAAGCACCGGCUAACUCUGUGCCAGCAGCCGCGGUAAUACGGAGGGUGCGAGCGUUAAUCGGAAUUAAUGGGCGUAAAGCGGUCGUAGGCGGUAUGUCAAGUCAAGGGUGAAAUCCCCGGGCUCAACGUGGGGACUGCCUUUGAAACUGGCAAACUGGAGUGUGUGAGAGGAUAGUGGAAUUCCAGGUGUAGGAGUGAAAUCCGUAGAUAUCUGGAGGAACAUCAGAGGCGAAGGCGACUAUCUGGCACAUAACUGACGCUGAGGGGCGAAAGCGUGGGUAGCAAACAGGAUUAGAUACCCUUGUAGUC
rnacentral:rRNA from 1 species